AUGGUCUUGGCCUUGGUGAUGGACUUGGCCGUGGUGAUGGACAAGGGCAAGGUCGUUAUAGAGGAAUGUUUGGAUACCUCGAUGGAACAUUUCCGUAUGGCGGCUUCCCAACCCAACAAACCAACAAUGAAGGAGGAUGGCGAAGAUGAGAUGGCGGGAUGGUGGGAGAAGGCUGCGAAGAAGCUUAGAGAGGAGGAUGCAGCCAAGCUAAAGAAGAAAAAGGAAGAGGAGCUUGAGGAGAAGAGGAAGGAAGAAGAGAGAGCGUCAAAUGCGAUGCGCGCUAGGGAGCAAGCAUUGGUGAGGAAAUGUGAGGAGGCACAGAAGAAGCGUCAAAAGGAUUUUGAAGAAGGAACCAUGAAGCUUUGGGCAAUUGCAGCUGAAAAAAAAGAGAGGGAGGAAAAGAUAUUCAUGGAGAGGGUGGUUAAGGAGGCCCACCUCAUAAGGAAAAGGGAGGAGGAAGAGGAAGAAGAGAAGAAGAAGAAGAAGGGAAAGGGGCCUUGCUCUACGCAAUAG
rnacentral:rRNA from 1 species